CGAAAGCCUGACGGAGCAACGCCGCGUGAGGGAUGAAGGCCUCUGGGCUGUAAACCUCUUUUAUCAAGGAAGAAGAUCUGACGGUACUUGAUGAAUAAGCCACGGCUAAUUCCGUGCCAGCAGCCGCGGUAAUACGGGAGUGGCAAGCGUUAUCCGGAAUUAUUGGGCGUAAAGCGUCCGCAGGCGGUCUUGUAAGUCUGUCGUUAAAGCGUGGAGCUUAACUCCAUUUCGGCGGUGGAAACUACAAGACUAGAGUGUGGUAGGGGCAGAGGGAAUUCCCGGUGUAGCGGUGAAAUGCGUAGAUAUCGGGAAGAACACCAGUGGCGAAGGCGCUCUGCUGGGCCAUAACUGACGCUCAUGGACGAAAGCCAGGGGAGCGAAAGGGAUUAGAUACCCCUGUAGUCCUGGCCGUAAACGAUGAACACUAGGUGUCGGGGGAAUCGACCCCUUCGGUGUCGUAGCCAACGCGUUAAGUGUUCCGCCUGGGGAGUACGCACGCAAGUGUGAAACUCAAAGGAAUUGACGGGGGCCCGCACAAGCGGUGGAGUAUGUGGUUUAAUUCGAUGCAACGCGAAGAACCUUACCAGGGUUUGACAUCCUGCGAAUCCCUUGGAAACGAGGGAGUGCCUUCGGGAGCGCAGUGACAGGUGGUGCAUGGCUUCUCAGCUC
rnacentral:rRNA from 1 species